rnacentral:rRNA from 1 species
UACAGAGGGUGCGAGCGUUAAUCGGAAUUACUGGGCGUAAAGCGCGCGUAGACGGUUUUGUAAGUCAGAUGUGAAAGCCCCGGGCUCAACCUGGGAAUUGCAUUCGAGACUGUUCAGCUAGGGUGCGGAAGAGGGAAGCGGAAUUUCCGGUGUAGCGGUGAAAUGCGUAGAUAUCGGGAGGAACACCUGUGGCGAAAGCGGCUCACUGGACCACAACUGACGCUGAUGCGCGAAAGCUAGGGGAGCAAACAGG